AUGGGCAUCUAUGGCUGAUAUUUGUGCUGUGAUGAGCAGUUAACAUGUGAGAAGAUCUCUUUAGAUGGAUCUUAACUGAGCCAUGUUUUUAUAGUUAAAUUGUGGCUGAGUACACAAACGUUGGAUGUGUUUGACUCUAAUUUUAAUUGUUCUGAUUUUAAUAGACUGGAGAUUUGUGGUUUGAGGGUCGUGAGCGCAUUCAUCACACAUGAGACCGGCUCUUACAACUUAAGGAGGUUGGGGAUAUUCCUGAAGAUAACUUGAAAAUUAAACAUGAGAUUGAGGCUGAACUUUUUCGUGAUGAUCAGAGUACAAGCAAUUCAAGGACUUCCUCUUCUUUGCAAGGACUCGCUAGAGUAUGUUUCUAAAAUUGUGGAUGUUCAUGGACAACUCCUCAUAGCUAAGGAAAAUGUGGAGCGUGAUGCAGUGCAAAAUACCCUUUUGUCCCUUUUAAGGCAGGAUCUAAAAGGUAAAUUGCUGUAAUGUUAAUAUAUCUUGAAAUCUUUGGUUGCUUACUGAUUUUUUACUUCAAUAAGAUGAUGUGUGUUGCCUAUGGGAAAUGUUACUAGUGCAUUUUCAUGUAGUUACGAUAAACCCAUCCCAAGAAACAACUACUAAGGAAAGAAGCAUGCUCACCAUCUCCUUGUAGCCAGCAUAGAGGAAAGGCAUGUUGGGCAUUCCUGAAAUCAAAUACAGAACAUUAAUACUCACAAUAUAUAUUAUGGAGGUUUGCUAAUUCUACACAAGGGCACAUAUGGAAAUAUGAAACAUAGGUGCGAGAUAGCUUUCCGUAAGAUGGGAAAUAAUGCUUAUACCUUAUGCC